CUAUUAUCGCUGUCCUUGCUGUGAUUCAAGGCCUAGGUGCUUGGGUCAUAUAUUUGCGGAUGACAGGUGGAACUUUAAAACGACCGGACCUUUCAUCAAGCACUAAUAUUGAGGCACUGAGAGACCUCAAAUCACCUCU